rnacentral:lncRNA from 1 species
UUUGCUUGUAAAUACUCUACUCUUGUGUCCUGUCUGCACGCCUCACCUCCGUUUUGCAUAACGAGUGCAUCAACCCACAUAUUAAUAGCGUAGGCGUUUUAUUAACUGUGCAAUAUUUCCAACGCUUCCUUGCAUGUCAUUUCAUGUGGCAUAUCUUUUCUGGUCACAAAUUUGUGCAGCGAAUCUAUUUUCAUGAUCGACUCCGGGCCUGUGGGACCGUUCACUUGCACUUGAUGCCGAGUCUUUUACAUGUAUCCAUAAACUGCAGAUAUGCACAUCAGAUCCCUGCGAGCAUUUUCAAAAUUCAAUUAUUUUAGACAGCAGGCACAUAUGCAAUACUUACAUAAUCUCAAAUACCACUAAUCAGCUGGGACACAUUUUUGUUGACCAUACUCGCAGGUAAAAUAAGUAGAUCAUGUGGACAGCUCCAGCUCAUUUUCCUUAAAUCAGUGUGUACAAGGGUUAUGCAAAAAUAAUUUUUUUUCUCGCGCACCGAUCAUUUUGCUGUAUAAGCAAGAGAACCCACCACGUUAGUGUAACGUAUCUUGUACAUCACACUAAUAUGUGCUUUAAUUUAAUAAGUGAGAUGAGUUACUUUUAUGGCUCAUUCAGUCAUAUCACACUGCAAGCUGUAUUCAUCAAUCUUCAAUUGGAUUUUGCAAAUGUUUAAUGAAACAUGUUUCCCUUUUAUGCAGAUAUGCAAUGGCAAGCCCUUCCCUGUGUUCCAAAGACAAUGCCUACACCUAGCCACAGCAGCUCCCUCAUACAGACUCCGCAAGCCAAGAGGCCGUGGAGGCAAAUGCAGGCAGCCAGCACACCUCGAACAGCCACCUUGACUGCGGGUGUGUCAGUAGAUUCCUGUUGUACAUAUGCUCAUAAUAAACUUCAGUAAACUUGAACUUGAUAAUAAA